GACGAACGCUGGCGGCGUGCUUAACACAUGCAAGUCGAACGGAAAGGCCCUGCUUUUGUGGGGUGCUCGAGUGGCGAACGGGUGAGUAACACGUGAGUAACCUGCCCUUGACUUUGGGAUAACUUCAGGAAACUGGGGCUAAUACCGGAUAGGAGCUCCUGCUGCAUGGUGGGGGUUGGAAAGUUUCGGCGGUUGGGGAUGGACUCGCGGCUUAUCAGCUUGUUGGUGGGGUAGUGGCUUACCAAGGCUUUGACGGGUAGCCGGCAUGAGAGGGUGACCGGCGUCAAGGCGACUGAGAGACGGCCCAGAGGGCUAUGGUAGGCAGCAGUGGGGAAUAUGGCACAAUGGGCGCAAGCCUGAGGCAGCAACGCUGCGGGCGGGAUGACGGCCUUUUGGUUGUGAACCGCUUUCGCCUGUGACGAAGCGGGAGUGACGGUAAUGGGUAAAGAAGCACCGGCUAACUACGUG
rnacentral:rRNA from 1 species